rnacentral:sRNA from 1 species
GCAUAUUAGAUUGUCAGCGUUCGAAGUAUUGAGCGUAACUUUUUCACACGGUUUCCAUUUUGGGCCCAUAAGUACUUUUCGAAAAUGUAGCGACCGUUUGGGAUUGAACUCACGGCAUCGUCAUGAUGUAAGAGCAAUUUCGACCAUUUUUCUUUCGAAGAACGAGCACUUACAUAUUUGGAUUGUCGGCGUUCGAAGAAUUAAGCGUAACUUUCGCAUACGAUUUUUGUUUUGGGGCCAUAAGUACUUUUCAAAAAUGUAGCGACCGUUUUGGAUUGAACUCACGGCAUCAUCGUGACGUAAGAGGAAUUUCGGCCAUUUGUUUUUUGAAGAACGAGCACUUGCAUAUUUGGAUUGUUGAGGUUCUAAGAAUUGAGCGUAACUUUUGCAAACGGUUUCUGAUUUGGGCCCAUAAGUACAUUUUGAAAAUGUAGCGACCGUUUUGGAUUGAGCUCACAGCACCAUCGUGAUGUAAGAGGGAUUUCGACCGUUUGUUUUCUCAUGAACGAGCAUUUGCUUAUUUGGAUUGUUGGCAUUCGAAGAAUUGAGCAUAGCUUUUGCACACGAUUUCUGUUUUGGCCCCAUAAGUACUUUUCAGAAAUGUAGCGACCGUUUUGGAUUGAACUCAUGCCAUCAUCAUGACGUAAGAGGGAUUUGGGCCAUUUGUUUUUUGAAGAACAAGCACUUGCAUAUUUGGAUUGUCGGUGUUCGAAGAAUUGAGCGUAACUUUUGUACAUGGUGUCCGUUUUGGGCCCAUAAGUACUUUUCAUAAAUGUAGCGAUCGUUUUGGAUUGAACUCACCGCUUUGCUAUGACGUAUGAGGGAUUUCAGGUUUUUUUUUGAAGAACGAGCACUUGCAUAUUUGGAUUGUCGGUGUUCGAAAAAUUGAGCGUAACUUUUGCACACAGUGUUCGUUUUGGGCCCAUUAGUACUUUUCGGAAGUAUAGGGACCGUUUUGGAUUGAACUGACGACAUCAUCGUGAUGUAAGAGGGAUUUUGGCCCUUUUUUUUGAAGAACGAGCACUUGCAUAUUUAGAUUGUCGGUGUUCGAAGAAUUGAGCGUAACUUUUGUACACGAUUUCCGUUUUGGCCCCAUAAGUACUAUUCGAAAAUGUAGCGACCAUUUUGGAUUGAACUCACGGCAUCAUCGUGAAGUAUAAGAGGGAUUUCGACCAUUUUUUUUCGGAGAACGAGCACUUGCAUAUUUAGAUUGUCGACGUUCGAAGAAUUGAGCAUAACUUUUGUACACGGUGUCUGUUUUGGGCCCAUAAGUACUUUUCGAAAAUGUAACGACCAUUUUAGAUUGAACUCUCCGCUUUGCUGUGACGUAUGAGGGAUUUUGGAUGUUUGUAUUUUGAAGAACGAGCACUUGUAUAUUUAAAUUGAAGGCGUUCGAAAAAUUGAGCGUAACUUUAGCAUACGGUGUUCGUUUUAGGCCCAUAAGUACUUUUCGGAAAUGUAGGCACCGUUUUGGAU